CCGAAUAUCUUGACACAGAUAAAACCGAAGGAAUUGAGUAUUCAUAUUUGAGAUGUAAACUGAAUAGAGAAUCGGAAAAUCUAGAAAAUAAUUAUGACGAAGAAAGACAAUCUGAUGCAAAACUAAUUAAAACUAAACUGAAUAGAAAAUCGUUAAUUCAAAAUGAAAAAACCCACUUUAAACAAAAAAGUUUUUUAUUUAAUUUAAAUUUUACAAGAAAAUGCAAAUACCAAAAAUGAUACUGAAUACGAUUUUCCUCGUAAAAGAUGUCGAUUUUCAAGCGAAAAAAGUCAAGAAAUGAUUUUUGAAACUGAAAAGAAUCCAAAUAUCACGAAAGACACUGAUGAUUUUAAUUCUGAUAUAUCCGAUGAAUCUGACACGAAUAGUUCAAGUUUAGAAAAAACGGAAGAAUAUCCAAAAAGUAAUCAAUAAAAGUCAAAAUAGGCACGGAAUUAGCAAAUCAAACAAAAUAUUUACGUGAAAUACAAAAUCAAAAUUCAAUUAACAAUACCAAAUUAAAUUUGCUUAGAGAAUUCUAUAAAAAUUUAAAGAAAAGAGCUAAUCUCAAUAAACAUUUUCACGAAAAAUUGAAUAAUUUGGGCUUAACCGAAUUUGGUAACCUGAGAAAAAUAAAAACUAAAAAAUCAAAUUCAAACGACGAGAAUUGGAAAAUAUUGCACGAAAAAGAACUUGUGGUAAUGGAAAAUCUAAAAUAUUACAUUCGUCGAUUAAACGACCAAUUCGUAGCAUACGACUCACAAAAAAAUAAACUCAAAAUAAAAUUUGGGUCGAAUUUGUGUCCUCCGUCAAAUAAAAUGAAUUAUAGGAUUUCAAUCAACGUCUUGAAAGAUGAAAUUGACGAUCUAAAAAGUCGAAUUAGGAAAAUAAAAAUUAUGCUCGACGAAGAG